UUGGGGUUUCUAGCCUCCCCGUUCGUCUCAGCUGACAAGUAAGUACCACGUAACAGUAAUUUGUGUGUACUGAACCAUCAACAUAUUAAACUGCAGAUCCAUACCGGCCAAGACUGGUGAUAGACAUGUAUAGAUUGACGCAUGCUCAGCUGACUGGGGACUAUGAGUAUGGAAAACCAUUUUGCAGAAUUAGGAAUGUGCAGCUGAAAGUGGUCAAAGAUCAAAGGCCAAGACUGAUGUCAGCUUGAAAGAAACCACUCUGUGUAUUGGAUUUGCGAGAUAAAAGAUAAUGAAUUAAUGCACCAGUUUCAAGUCCAAAGAUCGAAAAGCACCAUUUAGGUCAAGGUCAACUCCAAAUAUUGGUUAAAACCUAAUUUGUACCAACAACUGAUUCCAGAAGAGGACACCCAUAAAAUAGCUA